rnacentral:rRNA from 1 species
UGCCAGCAGCCGCGGUAAUACGGAGGGUCCAAGCGUUGUCCGGAUUUAUUGGGUUUAAAGGGUACGCAGGCGGGACUUUAAGUCAGUGGUGAAAGCCUCCAGCUUAACUGGAGAAUUGCCAUUGAAACUGAUGUUCUUGAGUAUGGAUGAGGUGGUUGGAAUAUAACAUGUAGCGGUGAAAUGCUUAGAUAUGUUAUAGAACACCAAUUGCGAAGGCAGAUCACUAAACCAUUACUGACGCUGAGGUACGAAAGCGUGGGGAGCGAACAGGAUUAGAUA